rnacentral:rRNA from 1 species
CACAGGUUUACCUGUGUGACUGCGUACCUUUUGUAUAAUGGGUCAGCGACUUAUAUUCUGUAGCAAGGUUAACCGUAUAGGGGAGCCGGAGGGAAACCGAGUCUUAACCGGGCGUUAAGUUGCAGGGUAUAGACCCGAAACCCGGUGAUCUAGCCAUGGGCAGGUUGAAGGUUGGGUAACACUAACUGGAGGACCGAACCGACUAAUGUUGAAAAAUUAGCGGAUGACCUGUGG